AAGUUAUUAAGGGCGUACGGGGGAUGCCUAGGCUCUCAGAGACGACGAAGGACGUGAUAAGCUGCGAAAAGCUACGGGGAGGUGCAAAUAACCAUUGAUCCGUAGAUGUCCGAAUGGGGCAACCUAGUAUUGUGAAGCAAUACUGCAUAGCGUUAACCCGGGGAACUGAAACAUCUAAGUACCCGGAGGAAAAGAAAUCGAAGAGAUUCCCUGAGUAGCGGCGAGCGAAACGGGACUAGCCUAAAGCUGUAAAGUUAGUGGAAGUGUUCUGGAAAGGCACACCAAAGAAAGUGAAAGUCUUGUACACGAAAGCAAUACAGUGGAAUUAAGUAGGGCGGAACACGAGAAAUUCUGUCUGAAGAUGGGGAGACCAUUCUCCAAGGCUAAAUACUCCUGAGAGACCGAUAGUGAACCAGUACCGUGAGGGAAAGGUGAAAAGAACCGCAAGAAGCGGAGUGAAAAGAACCUGAAACCGUGCGCCUACAAGCGGUCGGAGCCUACGGGUGACGGCGUGCCUUUUGCAUAAUGAGCCUACGAGUUACUCCUUACUAGCAAGUUUAAGUUUUUAAGAAACGGAGGCGGAGCGAAAGCGAGUCUGAAUAGGGCGAUAGCUAGUAGGGGUAGACGCGAAACCAUGUGAUCUACCCAUGGGCAGGUUGAAGUGUGGAUAGUCUCUGCAUGGAGGACCGAACCAGUACAUGUUGAAAAAUGUUUGGAUGACCUGUGGGUAGGGGUGAAAGGCCAAUCAAACUUGGAGAUAGCUCGUACUCCCCGAAAUGCAUUUAGGUGCAGCGUUGGGCAGCUUGUCAUGGAGGUAGAGCUACCAAUAGGGCUAGGGGGCUUCACCGCCUACCAACCCCUGAUGAACUCCGAAUGCCAUGACAAGACACCAGCAGUGAGGCGUCGGGUGCGAAGGUCCGAUGCCAAGAGGGGAACAACCCAGACCAUCAGUUAAGGUCCCAAAGUAUCCACUAAGUUGAAUGAACGAGGUGGGGAUGCUAUGACAGCUAGGAUGUUGGCUUGGAAGCAGCCAUUCAUUUAAAGAGUGCGUAACAGCUCACUAGUCGAGCGUUCCUGCGCGGAAAAUAAUCGGGCAUCAAGUGGAUCACCGAAACUAUGGGCCGAGAGGCGGUAGGGGAGCAUUGUAGUGGCGUAGAAGGUGUGUCGUGAGACAUGCUGGAGCAACUAGAAAAGCAAAUGUAGGCAUGAGUAACGAUAAAUGAGGUGAGAGACCUCAUCGCCGUAAGACUAAGGUUUCCUCGAUCGAUGUUAAUCAGAUCAGGGUUAGUCGGGACCUAAGGCGAACCCGAAAGGGGUAGUCGAUGGAAAGCAGGUUAAUAUUCCUGCACCUGCUAUACAAUGAAAGGGACGGAGUUAUGUAGUUGCUGAGGGCUGACGGAAUAGCCCCCUGAGCGGAACCCUAUGGGUGAAGCGAAGUGAUGAAUUAACUUCCAAGAAAAGCGAGUAUAGCAGCUCGUACCGUAAACCGACACAGGUAGUCGAGGAGAGUAUCCUAAGGCGCUCGAGUGAUUCAUGGUUAAGGAACUAGGCAAAAUAGCCCCGUAACUUCGGGAGAAGGGGCGCUCGAAAGAGCCGCAGUGAAAAGGCCCAGGCGACUGUUUAGCAAAAACACAGGACUCUGCCAAAUCGAAAGAUGAAGUAUAGGGUCUGACACCUGCCCGGUGCUGGAAGGUUAAGGAAGGUAGUUAGCUCCGGCAAAGCUAUUGACUGAAGCCCCAGUAAACGGCGGCCGUAACUAUAACGGUCCUAAGGUAGCGAAAUUCCUUGUCGGGUAAGUUCCGACCUGCACGAAUGGCGUAACGACUUCCCCGCUGUCUCCAACAUCGACUCAGCGAAAUUGAAUUGCCUGUCAAGAUGCAGGCUUCCCGCGGUUAGACGGAAAGACCCCGUGCACCUUUACUACAGCUUCGCACUGGCUUCAGGCACAGCAUGUGCAGGAUAGGUGGUAGGCUUCGAAGCAGUGACGCCAGUCGCUGUGGAGCCUCCCUUGAGAUACCACCCUUGCUCUGCUUGAAGUCUAACCGCGGCCCGUUAUCCGGGUCCGGGACCCUGCGUGGUGGGUAGUUUGACUGGGGCGGUCGCCUCCCAAAAAGUAACGGAGGCGCGCAAUGGUGCCCUCAGGCUGAUUGGAAACCAGCCGUAGAGUGCAAAGGCAUAAGGGCGCUUGACUGCGAGACCGACAGGUCGAGCAGGUGCGAAAGCAGGCCUUAGUGAUCCGGUGGUUCCGCAUGGAAGGGCCAUCGCUCAAAGGAUAAAAGGUACUCCGGGGAUAACAGGCUGAUACCGCCCAAGAGUUCAUAUCGACGGC
rnacentral:rRNA from 1 species